rnacentral:rRNA from 1 species
AGGACGAACGCUGGCGGCGUGCUUAACACAUGCAAGUCGAGCGGAAAGGCCCUUCGGGGUACUCGAGCGGCGAACGGGUGAGUAACACGUGAGUAAUCUGCCCCUAGCUCUGGGAUAGCUCCGGGAAACCGGGAUUAAUACCGGAUACGACCGCUUUAGACAUCUGUUGUGGUGGAAAGAAUUUUGGCUAGGGAUGAGCUCGCGGCCUAUCAGCUUGUUGGUGGGGUAACGGCCUACCAAGGCGACGACGGGUAGCCGGCCUGAGAGGGCGACCGGCCACACUGGGACUGAGACACGGCCCAGACUCCUACGGGAGGCAGCAGUGGGGAAUAUUGCGCAAUGGGCGAAAGCCUGACGCAGCGACGCCGCGUGGGGGAUGAAGGCCUUCGGGUUGUAAACCCCUUUCAGCAGGGACGAAGCGAAAGUGACGGUACCUGCAGAAGAAGCGCCGGCUAACUACGUGCCAGCAGCCGC